rnacentral:rRNA from 1 species
UACGAAGGGGGCUAGCGUUGCUCGGAAUUACUGGGCGUAAAGCGCACGUAGGCGGCUUUCUAAGUCGGGGGUGAAAUCCUGGAGCUCAACUCCAGAACUGCCUUCGAUACUGGAAAGCUCGAGUCCGGGAGAGGUGAGUGGAACUGCGAGUGUAGAGGUGAAAUUCGUAGAUAUUCGCAAGAACACCAGUGGCGAAGGCGGCUUACUGGUCCGGAACUGACGCUGAGGUGCGAAAGCGUGGGGAGCCGAACGAGG